AUGUACCACGCGUACACCGGUUCCUCAGCGCCAUCCGCACCCACCUGACGAGCGCUCGCUACGUUUUGUCGGCC
rnacentral:sRNA from 1 species